rnacentral:rRNA from 1 species
GAUGAACGCUAGCGGCAGGCCUAACACAUGCAAGUCGAGGGGCAGCACGGGUAGCAAUACUUGGUGGCGACCGGCGCACGGGUGAGUAACGCGUAUGCAACCUACCCAUAACAGUGGGAUAGCCCGGAGAAAUUCGGAUUAAUACCGCAUAACAUUAUCGGAUCGCAUGGUUUGAUGAUUAAAUUUACGGAGGUUAUGGAUGGGCAUGCGUGACAUUAGAUAGUUGGUGAGGUAACGGCUCACCAAGUCAGCGAUGUCUAGGGGGCCUGAGAGGGUAAUCCCCACACUGGUACUGAGACACGGACCAGACUCCUACGGGAGGCUG